rnacentral:rRNA from 1 species
GACGAACGCUGGCGGCGUGCUUAACACAUGCAAGUCGAACGAAGAGCGAUGGAAGCUUGCUUCUAUCAAUCUUAGUGGCGAACGGGUGAGUAACGCGUAAUCAACCUGCCCUUCAGAGGGGGACAACAGUUGGAAACGACUGCUAAUACCGCAUACGAUCUGACCUCGGCAUCGAGGAUAGAUGAAAGGUGGCCUCUACAUGUAAGCUAUCACUGAAGGAGGGGAUUGCGUCUGAUUAGCUAGUUGGAGGGGUAACGGCCCACCAAGGCGAUGAUCAGUAGCCGGUCUGAGAGGAUGAACGGCCACAUUGGGACUGAGACACGGCCCAGACUCCUACGGGAGGCAGCAGUGGGGAAUCUUCCGCAAUGGACGAAAGUCUGACGGAGCAACGCCGCGUGUGUGAUGACGGCCUUCGGGUUGUAAAGCUCUGUUAAUCGGGACGAAAGGCCUUUUUGCGAAUAGUGAGAAGGAUUGACGGUACCGGAAUAGAAAGCCACGGCUAACUACGU